rnacentral:rRNA from 1 species
UGGGGAAUCUUGGACAAUGGGGGCAACCCUGAUCCAGCGACGCCGCGUGGGUGGUAAGGCCUUCGGGUUGUAAAGCCCUUUCACCGGGGAAGAUGAUGACAUUACCCGGAGAAGAAGCGCCGGCUAACUCCGUGCCAGCAGCCGCGGUAAGACGGAGGGCGCUAGCGUUGUUCGGAAUCACUGGGCGUAAAGGGCGCGUAGGCGGCUGUUUAAGUCGGGGGUGAAAGCCCGGGGCUCAACUCCGGAACGGCAUUUGAUACUCCUUUGCUGGAGGUCGAGAGAGGAGAGUGGAAUACCCAGUGUAGAGGUGAAAUUCGUAGAUAUUGGGUGGAACACCAGUGGCGAAAGCGGCUCUCUGGCUCGAACCUGACGCUGAGGCGCGAAAGCGUGGGGAGCAAACAGGAUUAGAUACCCGCGUAGUCC